CGAGUGAAGCGGCAACAGCUCAAAUUUGAAAUCUGGCGCAAGCCCGAGUUGUAAUUUGUAGAGGAUGCUUCUGGGCAGCGGCCGGUCUAAGUUCCUUGGAACAGGACGUCACAGAGGGUGAGAAUCCCGUAUGUGAUCGGCGCGCACCCUCCACGUAGCUCCUUCGACGAGUCGAGUUGUUUGGGAAUGCAGCUCUAAAUGGGAGGUAAAUUUCUUCUAAAGCUAAAUACCGGCCAGAGACCGAUAGCGCACAAGUAGAGUGAUCGAAAGAUGAAAAGCACUUUGGAAAGAGAGUUAAAAAGCACGUGAAAUUGUUGAAAGGGAAGCGCCCGCAACCAGACUUCGCGGCGGUGUUCCGCCGGUCUUUUGACCGGUCUACUCGCCGCCGUGAGGCCAACAUCGUCUGGGGCCGCCGGAUAAGACCGGAGGAAUGUAGCUCCCCCUCGGGGGAGUGUUAUAGCCUUCGGUGAUGCGGCGAGCCCCGGGCGAGGUCCGCGCUUCGGCAGGAUGUGGC
rnacentral:rRNA from 1 species